AACGAACGCUGGCGGCGUGCUUAACACAUGCAAGUCGAACGCGAACGAUUUUCUUCGGAGAAUCUAGUAGAGUGGCGCACGGGUGAGUAACGCGUAAGUAAUCUACCCAGGCAUCUGGAAUAACUCAGCGAAAGCUGUGCUAAUACCGGAUACGUUGGAGACAAGAAAGGUGGCCUCUAUUUAUAAGCUACCGUGCUUGGAGGAGCUUGCGUACCAUUAGCUAGUUGGUAGGGUAACGGCCUACCAAGGCAACGAUGGUUAGCGGGUCUGAGAGGAUGAUCCGCCACACUGGAACUGGAACACGGACCAG
rnacentral:rRNA from 1 species